rnacentral:lncRNA from 12 species
AGCCCUUGACUGUUCUCAUGCUAUCCUGAACAAGUUAGGUUUUGUAAGUUCUAGUUUCACAGACAUCCAAGUUCCCAAUAUUUUCCUAAGAACAUCCUGGCAUGAAGUUGAGAUCCUCAGUUUGUGAGGGAUGUGAAGGAGUUAAUGUGGAAACAUUAUGGAAGUGGAAUUAGAUGCCAGCUCUCAGAUAAUAACAGGACAAGAGGACGUGGAGAGAGCUACAGUUUGUCAUUAUAUCCCUGACUGCAGAUAUUUUGGUUAGCUUGCCACGUCAGUAUCUUUUUAUCAUCAUAAAUAUCUUUCUCCACCUAGUUAUUUUCAGGCUGCUGUAUUCCGGUUCCCCAGAUGUUGAGCCCAGGCCAGAUCUGGAAGAGACUAGACUGAAGGAACUUCCCUUCCAGGCGUGCUGAUGUUGGCUACAACUGACAGCCCAUCAAACAGAUGUUUAGGACAUGGAAGAAGAGCCAGGACAAAACCCAGCCUUCAGAAUAAUCAAGUGGCCAGAUAGAGAGUAAGAAGAAAACCCCAGUCCAUGGCUGAAGCAGAGGGCAAGGCUGCCAGCUGACUUUGGUGCCCCGGGGGAAGAGAGACACCAGGCAUUCAAGAGGCCCACACAGAAGAAAUGAGCACAGCUCUGCAGGAAUCAGGCACCAUUGCCCUUCCCUCCACUGAGGUCGAUGCCUGCAGCACCAAGUUUGUUCACCUGUCUGUUUGCAUCAUUGAAUUGGACAGAAUAUUUGGCAUCUUUCAUGCCCAACUCUUGUCACUAUUGCCUCGUGACUUUCGUGGUGGACACAGUUCCUACUACAUCAUUCUACAAAUUCAAUCAGACCGUGACUCAGGCAGUGUUGAUAUCUUCUGCAUGACAUUUUCAACAACUGUUUCUCACCGUGUGGAUGGAACAGCAUCAUGCACAGAGCUGGCGCGGUGCUGCUGUGUUACUCUCAGUCCACUGCCAGGGACCUGGAGUACCUGUAUAUCUGAGACGAUGAGAAAAACAAGUAAGAGUCAUAAAUCCUGUGGUCCCUUCUGA